ensembl:misc_RNA Metazoa_SRP Metazoan signal recognition particle RNA
GCUGGGGGCGGCAUACCUGUAGUCCCAGCUUCUCAGGAGGCUGAGGUGGGAGGAUCGCUUGAGCCCAGGAGUUCUGGGCUGUAGUGUGCUAUGCCGAUUGGGUGUCAGCACUAAGUUCGGCAUCAAUAUGGUGACUACCUGGGAGCAGGGGACCACCAGGUUGCCUAAGGAGGGGUGAACCAGCCCAUGUCGGAAACGGAGCAGGUCAAAACUCCCAUGCUGAUCAGUAGUGGGAUAAUGCCUGUGAAUAGCCACUGCUCUCCAGACUGGGCAACAUAGUGAGACCCCAUCUCUA